rnacentral:rRNA from 1 species
AGCGAACGCUGGCGGCAGGCCUAACACAUGCAAGUCGAACGAAGUCUUCGGACUUAGUGGCGGACGGGUGAGUAACACGUGGGAACGUGCCUUUAGGUUCGGAAUAACUCAGGGAAACUUGUGCUAAUACCGAAUGUGCCCUUCGGGGGAAAGAUUUAUCGCCUUUAGAGCGGCCCGCGUCUGAUUAGCUAGUUGGUGAGGUAAAGGCUCACUAAGGCGACGAUCAGUAGCUGGUCUGAGAGGAUGAUCAGCCACAUUGGGACUGAGACACGGCCCAAACUCCUACGGGAGGCAGCAGUGGGGAAUCUUGCGCAAUGGGCGAAAGCCUGACGCAGCCAUGCCGCGUGAAUGAUGAAGGUCUUAGGAUUGUAAAAUUCUUUCACCGGGGACGAUAAUGACGGUACCCGGAGAAGAAGCCCCGGCUAACUUCGUGCCAGCAGCCGCGUAAGAC